AUUCCUACGGGAGGCAGCAGUGGGGAAUAUUGGACAAUGGGCGCAAGCCUGAUCCAGCCAUUCCGCGUGUAGGAUGACGGCCCUCUGGGUUGUAAACUACUUUUAUUUGGGAAGAAACCCCGGGAUUUAUCCCGGGCUGACGGUACCAAAAGAAUAAGCACCGGCUAAUUCCGUGCCAGCAGCCGCGGUAAUACGGAAGGUGCAAGCGUUAUCCGGAAUCACUGGGUUUAAAGGGUGCGUAGGCGGCCCGGUAAGUCAGAGGUGAAAGCUCAUAGCUCAACUAUGGAAUUGCCUUUGAUACUGCCGAGCUAGAAUUAGGUUGAGGUUGGCGGAAUGUGACAUGUAGCGGUGAAAUGCUUAGAUAUGUCAUAGAACACCAAUUGCGUAGGCAGCCGACUGGACCUAUAUUGACGCUGAGGCACGAAAGCGUGGGGAGCGAACAGGAUUAGAUACCCUGGUAGUCCACGCCCUAAACGACGCUUACUCGAUGUGUGGAAUUAUCUGCGCGUCCAAGGGAAACCGAUAAGUAAGCCACCUGGGGAGUACGUUCGCAAGAAUGAAACUCAAAGGAAU
rnacentral:rRNA from 1 species